rnacentral:rRNA from 1 species
CCUACGGGGGGCUGCAGUGGGGGAUAUUGGACAAUGGGGGGAACCCUGAUCCAGCGACGCCGCGUGAGUGAAGAAGUAUUUCGGUAUGUAAAGCUCUGUCAGCAGGGAAGAAAGCAAUGACGGUACCUGACCAAGAAGCCCAGGCUAACUACGUGCCAGCAGCCGCGUUAAUACGUAGGUGGCACGCGUUGUCCGGAAUUACUGGGUGUAAAGGGAGCGCAGGCGGGAAGCCAAGUCAGCUGUGAAAACUACGGGCUUAACUUGGAGACUGCAGUUGAAACUGGUUUUCUUGAGUUAAGUAGAGGUUGGCAGAAUUCCGGGUGUAGCGGUGAAAUGCGUAGAUAUUCGGAGGAACACCGGUGGCGAAGGCGGCCAACUGGGCUUUAACUGACGCUGAGGCUCGAAAGUGUGGGGAGCAAACAGGAUUAGAUACCCUAGUAGUC